rnacentral:rRNA from 1 species
CGUAAACGAUGUGUGUUAGACGUUGGAAAUUUAUUUUCAGUGUCGCAGCGAAACCGAUAAACACACCGCCUGGGGAGUACGACCGCAAGGUUAAAACUCAAAUGAAUUGACGGGGACCCGCACAAGUAGUGGAGCAUGUGGUUUAAUUCGAAGAUACGCGCAGAACCUUACCAACACUUGACAUGUUCGUCGCGACUCUAAGAGAUUAGAGUUUUCGGUUCGGCCGGACGAAACACAGGUGCUGCAUGGCUGUCGUCAGCUCGUGUCGUGAGAUGUUGGGUUAAGUCCCGCAACGAGCGCAACCCUCACUUUUAGUUGCCAUCAUUUAGUUGGGCACUCUGAAAGAACUGCCAGUGAUAAGCUGGAGGAAGGUGGGGAUGACGUCAAGUCCUCAUGGCCCUUACGUGUUGGGCUACACACGUGCUACAAUGGUAUCUACAACAGGAAGCAAGACUGCGAGGUCAAGCAAAUCCUUAAAAGAUACCUCAGUUCGGAUUGCACUCUGCAACUCGAGUGCAUGAAGCUGGAAUUACUAGUAAUCGUGGAUCAGCGUGCCACGGUGAAUGCGUUCCCGGGUCUU